GUGACCUGCGGAGGGAUCAUUACACAAAUAUGAAGGCGGGCUGGAACCUCUCGGGGUUACAGCCUUGCUGAAUUAUUCACCCUUGUCUUUUGCGUACUUCUUGUUUCCUUGGUGGGUUCGCCCACCACUAGGACAAACAUAAACCUUUUGUAAUUGCAAUCAGCGUCAGUAACAAAUUAAUAAUUACAACUUUCAACAACGGAUCUCUUGGUUCUGGCAUCGAUGAAGAACGCAGCGAAAUGCGAUAAGUAGUGUGAAUUGCAGAAUUCAGUGAAUCAUCGAAUCUUUGAACGCACAUUGCGCCCUUUGGUAUUCCAAAGGGCAUGCCUGUUCGAGCGUCAUUUGUACCCUCAAGCUUUGCUUGGUGUUGGGCGUCUUGUCUCUAGCUUUGCUGGAGACUCGCCUUAAAGUAAUUGGCAGCCGGCCUACUGGUUUCGGAGCGCAGCACAAGUCGCACUCUCUAUCAGCAAAGGUCUAGCAUCCAUUAAGCCUUUUUUUCAACUUUUGACCUCGGAUCAGGUAGGGAUACCCGCUGAACUUAAGCAUAUCAAUA
rnacentral:rRNA from 1 species